GAUGAACGCUGGCGGCGUGCUUAACACAUGCAAGUCGAACGAAGCACUUUAUUACGAUUUCUUCGGAAUGACGAUUUGGUGACUGAGUGGCGGACGGGUGAGUAACGCGUGGGUAACCUGCCUUAUACAGGGGGGAUAACAGUUGGAAACGGCUGCUAAUACCGCAUAAGCGCACAGGGUCGCAUGACCUGGUGUGAAAAACUCCGGUGGUAUGAGAUGGACCCGCGUUGGAUUAGCUGGUUGGUGAGGUAACGGCCCACCAAGGCGACGAUCCAUAGCCGACCUGACGAGGGUGACCGGCACAUUGGGACUGAGACACGGCCCAGACUCCUACGGGAGCAGCAGUGGGGAAUC
rnacentral:rRNA from 1 species